UGAACACUGAAUCCUUCACUUCUUGCUUAUUUAAUGAUUCGGCUUUUGAGCAUUCUGUAGGUGAACAUUGUGCAUUACUUUUGGCUUUAAAGCGUUCCUGAAGAAUUUGAGUCAGCUCAUUCCAUUCAGAUGCUUCCCAGUGGAGGAUGUACAGCUUGGAAAUCUGCUUACGUGCGAGUUGUUGAGGGAUCAGCUUGCUCAAAGCUUUCAAAAACAGACUCCCAUUUGCUUGGAUCGAUUCCUACAAUAAGAAAAUAAAGGAGAGAGGAUCUCUUUGCGUGGUUUACAUAUUGCUUCAAAAUUGUUUUAUGUGUACUCCAUGAUUCCUUUGGAUUGAGAUGAAACUUCCUGCCGUUGCUAGAAGUGUUUGGCUUCUCACACCAUCCUCGCAGAACAAUGUAGCCAGCUACGAGGAAUUCUCCAAGGCAGGAUCACAUUGGACCCAUCCUUGCAGGGUAAAAUAAGACAAAGGCGUGUCCAAUGAUCAGAGACAAAAAAUUUACAAACCAUGAUGGCGAGGCGAACGACAAAGACACUGUAGUAUGAUGAGAGACAAUGGCUGCUUG